rnacentral:rRNA from 1 species
UAGCGUAUAUUAAAGUUGUUGCAGUUAGAACGCUCGUAGUCGGAUUUCGGGGCGGGUCGACCGGUCUGCCGAUGGGUACGCACUGGCCGACGCGUCCUUCCUUCCGGAGACCGUCCCUACUCUUAACUGAGCGGGGGCGGGAGACGGAACGUUUACUUUGAAAAAAUCAGAGUGUUUCAAGCAGGCAUCUCGCUCUUGCAUGGAUUAGCAUGGGAUAAUGAAAUAGGACUUUGGUGCUAUUUUGUUGGUUUCGAACACCGAAGUAAUGAUGAGAAGGGACAGUCAGGGGCACUCGUAUUCCGCCGAGAGAGGUGAAAUUCUCAGACCAGCGGAAGACGAACCACUGCGAAAGCAUUUG